rfam:Cavia porcellus supercont2_2 genomic scaffold, whole genome shotgun sequence.
GGGGAUUUAGCUCAGCGGCAUAAGCGCCUGCCUUGAAAGCAGGCAGUUGUGAGUUCAAUCCCUG